AUUGAACGCUGGCGGCAGGCCUAACACAUGCAAGUCGAACGAGUGGCGGACGGGUGAGUAAUGUCUGGGAAACUGCCUGAUGGAGGGGGCUAACUACAGGAAACGGUAGCUAAUACCGCAUACCAUCGGAUGUGCCCAGAUGGGAUUAGCUAGUAGGUGGGGUAAAGGCGAACCUAGGCGACGAUCCCUAGCUGGUCUGAGAGGAUGACCAGCCACACUGGAACUGAGACACGGUCCAGACUCCUACGGGAGGCAGCAGUGGGGAAUAUUGCACAAUGGGCGCAAGCCUGAUGCAGCCAGGGCGAGUGUAUGAAGAAGGCCUUCGGGUUGUAAAGUACUUUCAGCGGGGAGGCGUUACCCGCAGAAGAAGCACCGGCUAACUCCGUGCCAGCCGCCGCGGUAAUAC
rnacentral:rRNA from 1 species